rnacentral:rRNA from 1 species
AUUGAACGCUGGCGGCAUGCCUAACACAUGCAAGUCGAACGAGUGGCGGACGGGUGAGUUAGGUCUGUGAAACUGCCUGCUGGAGGGGUAUAACUACUGGAAACGGUAGCUAAUACCGCAUACCAUCAGCGGUGCCCAGAUGGGAUUUGCUAGUUGGUGGGGUAACGGCUCACCAAGGCGACGAUCCCUAGCUGGGCUGAGAGGAUGACCGGCCCAACUGGAACUGAGACACGGGCCAGACUCCUACGUGAGGCAGCAGUGGGGAAUAUUGGACAAUGGGCGCAAGCCUGAUACAGCCAUGCCGCGUGGAUGAAGAAGGCCUUCGGGUUGUAAAGUACUUUCAGCGGGGAGGCGUUACCCGCAGAAGAAGCACCGGCUAACUCCGUGCCAGCAGCCGCGGUAAUUC